rnacentral:rRNA from 1 species
GAUGAACGCUGGCGGCGUGCCUAAUACAUGCAAGUCGAGCGAACAGACGAGGAGCUUGCUCCUCUGACGUUAGCGGCGGACGGGUGAGUAACACGUGGAUAACCUACCUAUAAGACUGGGAUAACUUCGGGAAACCGGAGCUAAUACCGGAUAAUAUAUUGAACCGCAUGGUUCAAUAGUGAAAGACGGUUUUGCUGUCACUUAUAGAUGGAUCCGCGCCGCAUUAGCUAGUUGGUAAGGUAACGGCUUACCUAGGCAACGAUGCGUAGCCGACCUGAGAGGGUGAUCGGCCACACUGGAACUGAGACACGGUCCAGACUCCUACGGGAGGCAGCAGUAGGGAAUCUUCCGCAAUGGGCGAAAGCUUGACGGAGCAACGCCGCGUGAGUGAUGAAGGUCUUCGGAUCGUAAAACUCUGUUAUUAGGGAAGAACAAAUGUGUAAGUAACUAUGCACGUCUUGACGGUACCUAAUCAGAAAGCCACGGCUAACUACGU